GACGAACGCUGGCGGCGUGCUUAACACAUGCAAGUCGAGCGGUAAGGCCCCUCCGGGGGCACACGAGCGGCGAACGGGUGAGUAACACGUGAGCAACCUGCCCCUGACUCCGGGAUAAGCGGUGGAAACGCCGUCUAAUACCGGAUACGACCAUCCGGCUCAUGCCGUGGGGGUGGAAAGUUUUUUCGGUUGGGGAUGGGCUCGCGGCCUAUCAGGUUGUUGGUGGGGUAAAGGCCUACCAAGGCGAUUACGGGUAGCCGGCCGGAGAGGGCGACCGGCCACACUGGGACUGAGACACGGCCCAGACUCCUGCGGGAGGCAGCAGUGGGGAAUCUUGCGCAAUGGGCGAAAGCCUGACGCAGCGACGCCGCGUGGGGGAUGACGGCCUUCGGGUUGUAAACUCCUUUUACCACUCACGCAGGCCCGGAGUGUUCUUCGGGUUGACGGUAGGUGGGGAAUAAGGACCGGCUAACUACGUGCCAGCCGCCGCGGUAA
rnacentral:rRNA from 1 species